rnacentral:rRNA from 1 species
GAUGAACGCUAGCGGGAGGCUUAACACAUGCAAGUCGAGGGGCAGCACGAGGUAGCAAUACUUUGGUGGCGACCGGCGCACGGGUGAGUAACGCGUAUGUAACCUACCCUGUACAGGGGGAUAACCCGGAGAAAUUCGGACUAAUAUCCCAUAAAGAUAUUGGAGGGCAUCCUUUGAUAUUUAAAGCUCAGGCGGUACGGGAUGGGCAUGCGUAACAUUAGCUAGUUGGUAGGGUAACGGCCUACCAAGGCUACGAUGUUUAGGGGUCCUGAGAGGGUGAUCCCCCACACUGGUACUGAGACACGGACCAGACUCCUACGGGAGGCAGCAGUGAGGAAUAUUGGUCAAUGGGCGCAAGCCUGAACCAGCCAUCCCGCGUGCAGGAAGACGGCCCUAUGGGUUGUAAACUGCUUUUCCAGGGGUGAAACUCCCGUACGUGUACGGGACUGACGGUACCUUGGGGAUAAGGCAUCGGCUAACUCCGUG